UACGUAGGGGGCAAGCGUUGUCCGGAAUUAUUGGGCGUAAAGAGCGCGUAGGCGGUCCGAUAAGUCGGCUGUGAAGGUCAGGGGCUCAACCCUUGAAAGCCGGCCGAUACUGUCGGACCAGAGUCCGGAAGAGGCAAGUGGAAUUCCCGGUGUAGCGGUGAAAUGCGCAGAUAUCGGGAGGAACACCAGUGGCGAAGGCGACUACCUGGCCUGUUCUUGACGCUGAGGCGCGAAAGCUAGGGGAGCAAACGGG
rnacentral:rRNA from 1 species